AUCUUAUUGUUUUUAAAUUAACAAGGCAAAUAGAGAGUAACAGAGUAAAAUAAGUGAAGCCACACCUUCCAUUUCAUUUCCUCAAUGUACAGAGAAUCCACUAACAGCAAAGGCUAUCCUCCAGCCUUACAGAAGCUAACAUGUUCUCAUUCCUGCCACCAGGAGUCGCCAAGACGCAUUCUCAUCAUUACUUAACCUAAAUGCUGUAAGGUGUUGGAGGUCAAGAUCAAUGCUUGAAACAGUAUUUGAUCGAUCCUGUAGGGUCUAAAUAAUCAUAAUCUGUUAAACACAUCGGUGCAGAUAUUCAGUCAAAGUUUUAUUUAUAUCUGACACAUUGUUUGUUUGGUAGCUUACCAAUAAAUCUAUUUUGCAUUACAGUGUGUAGAUUUGAACACUCAAUGCAGAGCCACACGUCACAGAAACAUUAUUCUUUACUCAGCGGGAGAGCUCCUCCCACCAAACUGCAUUUACUCACCUUUGCCAACUACUUUACAGUGACAGCGUUUCUUCAUCACUUCCCUUUCCUUUUUAAACCUCAGUUAUUUCGGUAUAGUCCUUAGUUGAUCCUUAUCAUGAAUAGUGACAAUAAGUGUGAUCUGAUGUCAGAUUCCAGAAAUUGACAUCCACAACUUUGUCACAAAGUUUUGUCAUCUAAAGACUUACAAAUGUUGACAAAAGACAAAAUGAUCUGCCUUGUAGUUUUCUGCUGCCUGUCAGGUGUUUGUCUGGGUCUUGAGGUCCGGCAGUCUGCCUCUGAUCUCAUCACAAAGCCUGGUGACAAAGUGCAGAUUUUCUGCAGCCAUGAUAAAACUGACUACAGGGUGAUGCUCUGGUACCAGCGAUCACCUGGAGACACGGCUAUGAAACUCAUUGGAUAUUUGUACUACCAAGCUGUCACAAUGGAAGAGCCAUAUAAAAAGGAUUUCAAUAUCACUGGAGAUUUGGGUGGAGAUGCAGCAAAGAACGGCUCACUUAUUUUGCAGCUCUCUGGAUUUGAAUACAGUGCUGUUUACUACUGUGCAGCCAGCUAUGCACGGUGUUUGUCUGGGUCUUGAGGUCCGCCAGUCUGCCUCUGAUCUGAUCAUAAAACCUGGUGACAAUGUGCAGAUUUUCUGCAGCCAUGAAAAAACUGACUACAGGAUGAUGCUCUGGUACCAGCAAUCAUCUGGAGACACAGCUAUGAAACUCAUUGGA